UACAGAGGUCUCAAGCGUUGUUCGGAUUCAUUGGGCGUAAAGGGUGCGUAGGCGGCGCGGUAAGUCGGGUGUGAAAUCUCGGAGCUUAACUCCGAAACUGCAUUCGAUACUGCCGGUGCUUGAGGACUGGAGAGGAGACUGGAAUUUACGGUGUAGCGGUGAAAUGCGUAGAUAUCGUAAGGAAGACCAGUGGCGAAGGCGGGUCUCUGGGACAGUUCCUGACGCUGAGGCACGAAGGUCAGGGGAGCAAACGGG
rnacentral:rRNA from 1 species